rnacentral:lncRNA from 1 species
ACAUAGCCCCAUUUGGAAUCUCCAAACCCAGCUGAUUCCUGCUGCGUGCUCCUGCACCACUUCUCCUGAUGGAGGAAGAAGGGGGUCUCCCUGGAACUGCCACUUGUGGGGUCCCUGCUCAAAGAGCAGUGGUCGACUGUGCUGCAGAUCACAGUUUAAGGCUGCCUUACAGCAAUCAGCUGGAGCAGAGGGGCAGUUGCUCACUUUGGACAGGACAAGCAUUCCAGUUCGCCAGAAUCCCAGCACUUACUCCUCUCUCCUAACCUUGAAGGUGAAUGCUUUCAUCACCUGCGACACCGGCUUCCACCGGAUCAGUUGGCCCACAUUUGAGAGCCCUCAUCUGCUUGGGAAAGACACCCCAUUUAGACACCAUAAUGGUGAUUAAGAUAUCCUUUUUUUCCCUCUGCAGAUUUUAUAAAACAAGUACAAUAAAUCCACUUUUAUGUCAAGGAGAAGGAACUUGAAGCCAGAGGAGUACAUGGAACAUUUUAGUUAAUUUAUCUGUUCCCUGAGAAAUGUCCUCAGGGCCCUGCAUGAAUAUGGGUGUAUCACUGGCACAGCUGAUUAAGAACAAAUGUUUCCUGGAUUUCUAUCCCAUUAAGUACCUAUUUUUUUUUCUUAAGAUAUAAGUUUGGUGCCUAAUUUCUUUCCUUCCUGG